rnacentral:lncRNA from 1 species
UCAAAUGAGACAUUCAUCGUAAACGAGUAGCGACUUAAGCAUUACCAAAGCGUAGAAAACAAGGAUUUUUGUAUGAGUUACAGAUUAGAAGAGUAGCCCGCUCUUUCGAAAGAAUAGCCCUAUUCUGAUUUAUGUCGAGCUCCCGACAUUAAAUGAAGCGCUACGUGGGAGGCAACCUAUGAUCCUAAGUUUUUAUUUUCACUUAUUAUAGUUAUU